CCUACGGGUGGCAGCAGUGAGGAAUAUUGGUCAAUGGGCGAGAGCCUGAACCAGCCAAGUCGCGUGAAGGAUGAAGGAUCUAUGGUUUGUAAACUUCUUUUAUAUGGGAAUAAAGUGAGGAACGUGUUCCUUUUUGUAUGUACCAUAUGAAUAAGCAUCGUCUAACUCCGUGCCAGCAGCCGCGGUAAUACGGAGGAUGCGAGCGUUAUCCGGAUUUAUUGGGUUUAAAGGGUGCGUAGGUGGCAUAAUAAGUAGCUAGUGAAAUCUGGUGGCUCAACCAUUCAGACUAUUAGCUAAACUGUUAAGCUCGAGACCGUUAGGGGUAACUGGAAUUUCUAGUGUAGGAGUGAAAUCCGUAGAUAUUAGAAGGAACACCAAUAGCGUAGGCAGGUUACUGGGACGGUUCUGACACUAAGGCACGAAAGCGUAGGGAGCAAACGGGAUUAGAUACCCUUGUAGUC
rnacentral:rRNA from 1 species